CAUUUAAACAGUUUUAUAAUGUUUUCAAAAAUUCCUGUCUCAUUUUUUUAAAAUUAAAAUGUGUUUGAUCAGGAGCAAGGCGUAAAGCAAAGUUACACAUUAAAAGAAACAACUGUCCUGUCUACUGACCCUCAAGCCAAAGCAUAAUCCACAAGUCCAUGUAGUAAAAGAAAACUUAAACACAUUAAAGAAAAAAAUAAGAAUUGUUUCGUUACCGCUGUAAAAUAUUCACUGAAUUAAACAAAGUUGUUUAUAUAUUCAGUUUUUUUGCUGUGCCACAAAUAAUCUGCAACUCCAACAUAAACACACGUAUUAGUUUCCCUCCGACAUUUUAUUUUAAUUUUUUUUUUUUUAUUCCCAGCUCAGCUUUGAAGCCAAACAUCUCUAAAAACAAACCAACCUAAAAGUUUUAAUCUUGGCAUAUUUCAUUCUAAGCUUGGUAGAAAUCUCAAUAAGGCACACAUUAUUACCCGCUCCGUCUUUCCUUACUUCAUCCACACACACACACACACGACAGAACGCUGAACCGCGCCAAAAGAACCUCUAUUUACAAUAUAUUACAUCACAAUGGGGAUGAUUAAUAGCAGCUCACAUGAACCUUGACAUUAGCCUUUUCAAACGGAGCAUCCUGUUACAAUGGAAGCACUUAAUUGCCAGAGUUAGGAAAGAAAUUCUUUGUGACGAGAUACAAAUCACGUUAAAACUAAGAAGUUUAAGUUAUCAUUUUAGUAACAUAAAUAUAAGUUUCUAUGACAGACUAGGACUUUUCAAAAAAGGCACCUUCUGAGUCUGUUUGUUCUAGAUGUUAUAAGUUAUAAGUGAUUGCAAGUAUAUAAAUACUAUAGAAACAUUACAGCUCAGGAAGAAGACGAGCUGUGUCGCAUAAAUGAAUAAAUUAACCCCAGAAUAAAACCAAAAUAUCUUGUAAGUUGUUGGCGUCUGCAGUGAAAUUACAACUUCACUGAUUUGAAAUGAAAGAAGAAGAAGAAGAAGCAAAUUCUCCAAAACCAAGAUAUAGAAACCAGAUUAUAUUUUGGAAAAGAGCACGAGAAAAACAUCCCAAAUGUUAAGUUUGGGGUAGCAGUGUCAUUUUAAGAGGCUGCUUUGCAUGUCAUAAAUUACGUUGAAACAUUAAACCCGACGUCUCAAAACAUCCUGCUGGAAAGUUCAAACUUUAGGUCGCUUUGCAGCGAACAGUGACCCGAAUCACGCAGUGAAGUUGGUUAUAAUGUGGCUUAAGGACAACAAAGUCAACAUUGUGAAGGAACCACCUCAAAGCUCUGGUGUCAUACAAACUUUGUGAACAGAGCUGAAAAUCUGAGUAAGAAAGGGACGAGACGGCCUACAAACCCGACUCCGGUUACACCGGUUCUGUCAGGAGGACUGGGCCGAAAUGUCCCAAAACCAUUGAGAGAAGCUUGUAAAGGGAUACCCAAAUACAGUACGGGGCCAUUUUAGCAAAUACCAAGGAAAUUUAUGUAAACUCAAGUU